rnacentral:rRNA from 1 species
ACAUGCAAGUCGCACGGGCAGGGGUAACUCUGUCAGUGGCGGACGGGUGAGGAACGCGUAGGAACGUAUCCAUGGGUGGGGGAUAACGCCGGGAAACUGGCGCUAAUACCGCAUGUGUCCUGAGGGACAAAGCAGCGAUGCGCCUGUGGAGCGGCCUGCGUCCGAUUAGCUUGUUGGUGGGGUAAUGGCCUACCAAGGCUCCGAUCGGUAGCUGGUCUGAGAGGACGACCAGCCACACUGGGACUGAGACACGGCCCAGACUCC